rnacentral:misc_RNA from 1 species
AAAAGAAAGAAUCUGAGUCAUGAAUAUCAUAACAAAACAAUGUUUCAUUCGCUAAGACAAUCCAUUUUCCUUUAACAAGUAUAUAUAGAGAUAGAUAGAGAGUGCAAAGGAGAGAAUCAUCACUACCUCGACCACUUAACCAGUUGCAUGCAGCACAUUGUGCACUCAUCCUAGCUCAAUACUCAGCAAGAUGAAAAGCCAUAACUGGCAUCAUUUGUUUGGAAUUGGUAACCUACCAUUUGAAAACUAUUGCCAUGCACUUCCUGGUCCAUUUGUCAUAGCUUGGGCCUCAGCAAGAGAAACAGCCAUGGCCAG